GAUGAACGCUGGCGGCGUGCCUAAUACAUGCAAGUCGAGCGAACGGACGAGAAGCUUGCUUCUCUGAUGUUAGCGGCGGACGGGUGAGUAACACGUGGAUAACCUACCUAUAAGACUGGGAUAACUUCGGGAAACCGGAGCUAAUACCGGAUAAUAUUUUGAACCGCAUGGUUCAAAAGUGAAAGACGGUCUUGCUGUCACUUAUCGAUGGAUCCGCGCUGCAUUAGCUAGUUGGUAAGGUAACGGCUUACCAAGGCAACGAUGCAUAGCCGACCUGAGAGGGUGAUAGGCCACACUGGAACUGAGACACGGUCAAGACUCCUACGGGAGGCAGCAGUAGGGAAUCUUCCGCAAUGGGCGAAAGCCUGACGGAGCAACGCCGCGUGAGUGAUGAAGGUCUUCGGAUCGUAAAACUCUGUUAUUAGGGAAGAACAUAUGUGUAAGUAACUGUGCACAGCUUGACGGUACCUAAUCAGAAAGCCACGGCUAACUACGUG
rnacentral:rRNA from 1 species